CGGAACGUGCCCGAUCGUGGGGGAUAACGAGGCGAAAGCUUUGCUAAUACCGCAUACGAUCUACGGAUGAAAGCGGGGGAUCUUCGGACCUCGCGCGGACGGAGCGGCCGAUGGCAGAUUAGGUAGUUGGUGGGAUAAAAGCUUACCAAGCCGACGAUCUGUAGCUGGUCUGAGAGGAUGAUCAGCCACACUGGGACUGAGACACGGCCCAGACUCCUACGGGAGGCAGCAGUGGGGAAUUUUGGACAAUGGGCGAAAGCCUGAUCCAGCCAUGCCGCGUGCAGGAUGAAGGCCUUCGGGUUGUAAACUGCUUUUGUACGGAACGAAAAGCCUCUUUCUAAUAAAGAGGGGUCAUGACGGUACCGUAAGAAUAAGCACCGGCUAACUACGUGCAGCAGCCGCGGUAAUACGUAGGGUGCAAGCGUUAAUCGGAAUUACUGGGCGUAAAGCGUGCGCAGGCGGUUUUGUAAGACAGAGGUGAAAUCCCCGGGCUCAACCUGGGAACUGCCUUUGUGACUGCAAGGCUGGAGUGCGGCAGAGGGGGAUGGAAUUCCGCGU
rnacentral:rRNA from 1 species